rnacentral:rRNA from 1 species
CCUACGGGAGGCAGCAGUGAGGAAUAUUGGACAAUGGGCGCAAGCCUGAUCCAGCCAUGCCGCGUGCAGGAUGACGGUCCUAUGGAUUGUAAACUGCUUUUGUACAGGAAGAAACACUCCCUCGUGAGGGAGCUUGACGGUACUGUAAGAAUAAGGAUCGGCUAACUCCGUGCCAGCAGCCGCGGUAAUACGGAGGAUCCAAGCGUUAUCCGGAAUCAUUGGGUUUAAAGGGUCCGUAGGCGGUCAGAUAAGUCAGUGGUGAAAGCCCAUCGCUCAACGGUGGAACGGCCAUUGAUACUGUCUGACUUGAAUUAUUAGGAAGUAACUAGAAUAUGUAGUGUAGCGGUGAAAUGCUUAGAGAUUACAUGGAAUACCAAUUGCGAAGGCAGGUUACUACUAAUGGAUUGACGCUGAUGGACGAAAGCGUGGGUAGCGAACAGGAUUAGAUACCCUGGUAGUCCACGCCGUAAAACGAGUAGAGUACUAGUACUGUUGGGUAGGACGAAUUACUAGUGGUCGUAAGACGAAGUAGAGUAAGUAUACCCACCCGUCGGGAGGUACGUUCGUCGAAGAAAGUAGUAAACGUACGAAAGGAAAGUUAGUACGGACGUAGAGACGUUAGCCGACGGACGACGACGAGGGAGGAGG